GAGCCGGGCUGGGGCGCGCGGCGGAGGCGCUAUGGCCCCGAGGGGCAGCCGAAGGCGCAGGGCGCUUCGCUGGCGGUUGCCGAGGCGGGCUUGGCGUGCGCAGGACCUCAGGGUGCUGUGCCUGGAUCCUCCUUUAACCAUGUGAAUUAAACUGAGGGAGAAAUUAAGGUCAUCUCUUGAGCAACAUGGAUGAGCUAGGAUCUGAAUGUGGGUCUCCUUACUUCACUUCUGGCGGCCCAGGAACCAUUCAAGUAUCUUGUGAUACCUGCGUUGCUCUUUGCGUACUUUCCAACUGUUAUCCCAACUAAAACUACUCCAAGCAACUCCCAGACAAGCUUUCAGCAACAAUGACAACCAACAGCCAACAAUUCCAGAAUCUCCAUCAGCCAGGUUGGAACCCCAGGUUGGCUGGGUAUGCUCUUCAGACCUGCACCUUAAUGUCCCUACUUUGGGACAAGACCUGUUUUGUGACUUCCUCUUUUCUUUCAAUUGAUUUGUUUUAAAUGAGUACACACAUUUUUAAUAGUCCACUAAAAUAGACAUGUGCUCACUUUCUUUUAAUCCUGUAGCCCACUCCGGCCCACUGUCCAAACUAAGAAAGAAACACCAGGUUGGCAAUGAAAGAGUUGGUGCAGAGGUUCCCCAGGGCAACUGACUGCUUGGCUCAGACGUCUUAUGCAAACAGCCACAGAAGCUUCAUGGCUUUCUUGCUGAAAAGAGAAGUGCUUCAUCAAACUUAGAAAUAUAUGCAAUCUAUAUCUGAAAUUGUUCUAUUAUAGUCAAGUACAAGACAUAUGUGAAAGCUGGUCCAUAAGGAAGGAUGAGGUGGGCAGAAAGACUGAGCGAGGACUCCUGAACCUGUCCAGUGGGUAGAAACAGAUGGGUCACUCCAUCCACGUUGGGAACAUGAUGCCACCCUUGCAAUGCUCUCUAAAAUGUGGUCUUGAUGGGAUCAUCUGUCUUCGCUAUUCAUUCAAGGGCAGAAAACAAGAGAACUUCCUAAUUUGUUCAGUAACCAAGCUUUGAUAGGCUGUCAAGCAGGAUCCAGUGGCCACGGCAUUGCCUGUUCUUGCCUCCAGGGGGUAUUUGGAAGCAUGGUUUCCUCCAAAUGUGACGAUCCCAUUGAACCUUAAAGACAGUAGCUACUCGCAUCUCUAUCUUCCAGAAUAUGGAAGAGCACUUUGGAGAGAAGCACUAUGUCAAUAUGAAGUAUGAAUAACAUUAGCUUUAGGGGUUCCUUGCUUUGUUUUUCACCGCUCGUCUUUAUUGUAUAUUCAAUUCUUGCAUUCACCGCUUGCUUCUGAGCAUCUUACUGCCAAUGCUGCUUCUGCAUGUCUACUAGGCAACAGAACAGCACCGGAGGUGCAAAAGUCAAAUAAUGUAUUUCAUUUUUAGCAGGUGACAGCUCUCUCCCCCCAAAAGCAACCAACAAUUCACCUUGCUAAUGUUAAAUUGCUCGAAGCCCUGAUGAAAAGUUGCAGGGAAACUUAACAUCCGCAGGGCAAAUCUGGUUUUUAAUUCUUCAUCUUCUUCUUUCUUUCUGUGUCUUUGCCUUCUAAAUGCCUUGGGCACAUUUUCCAAUUCUUUCCAUUUGGUUCUUUGGGAAUUAGAAGUACAUUGCAAUGGGAAAGCGGAACUCGAGAGCAACAUUUACCCGCUGGUAGGGUCCACUCAAAUGUAAAUGCUAGAGCUGGAACGUGUAUCUUUGUCUAUAUCUAAAUUGCAACCUUGAUUAGACUUUAGAGCAUAAUCCAUCUUCAGAGGAGAAUUUAUAGAGAAUCUUUAUGGGGAAGAACAGGCAUUGAUUUGCUCCGAGCUUGUGGACGGAGCAAAGAGACGACUUUUUCGAUUGGCUAAAAUUCAGGUUUUGCUGUGAGCAAUUUAAAUUUGGUUCAGUAGGAAUGAUGCUGCCUGCCUGCCUGCCUGCCUUCCUCCCUCCCUCCUUCCUCCC